rfam:Chlorocebus sabaeus isolate 1994-021 chromosome 4, whole genome shotgun sequence.
GCUGGGUGUGGUGGUGCACACCUGUAAUCCUUGCUCCUCUGGAGGCUGAGACAGGAGGAUUGCUUGAGCCCAAGAGUUCAAGACCAGCCUGGGCAACAUAGCAAGACCUUGUCUCAA